ACAGCCGCCCUAGACUUUUGCACAGGGAGCUGAUGGAAACUCAUCACUCCACACUGCUGGGUAGGAGACAAGACACUCAAGCAAAGGUCUGCACCUUGGUUUCUCAAGUUUUCCUCUCUCUUUGAUGGUCUUGCCUCCUGUCUCCUUGAACAGAGUGUCCAAGCUUUAAAGUCAGCCCAGCCAGAGGAACAGUUAUCCUCAUUCUUUCAGCUGAGAAAAUCCUUUCCAUGUUGUCCACCACUGUGAUGAAAAGAGAAGCCCCUCUUGCCAGAGACUGAAUUUGUCUGUCACAAAACCACCAUUUUCAGGACUUGUCAUGUCUCCCUUUCUGCGCAUUGGUUUAUCCAACUAUGACAGUGGCCCUUACCUGCCAUCCCAGGGGGAGGUGAUUAACCCUUACUGUGCUGUGAUGGUGAAAGAAGCUGUGGAAUCAGUCAUGAAGAUCAACUUCAGUGUUAGGGAAUUCCUCAUAUUGGCUGUUAUUUAUCUUCAAUCUUUGAUAAAUUCC